UCCGGUUGAUCCUGCCAGAGGUUACUGCUAUCGGAGUUCGAUUAAGCCAUGCGAGUCUAAAGGUUUCUUCGGAAACCUUGGCGAACUGCUCAGUAACACGUGGAUAACCUACCCUUGGGACUGGAAUAACCCCGGGAAACUGGGGAUAAUACCGGAUAGAUCAGGGAUGCUGGAAUGCACCUUGAUCCAAAGCUCCGGCGCCCAAGGAUGGGUCUGCGGCCUAUCAGGUAGUAGUGGGUGUAAUGUACCUACUAGCCAACGACGGGUACGGGUUGUGAGAGCAAGAGCCCGGAGAUGGAUUCUGAGACACGAAUCCAGGCCCUACGGGGUGCAGCAGGCGCGAAACCUUUACAAUGUGCGAAAGCAUGAUAAGGGAACUCCGAGUGCCAGCAUCUAAUGUUGGCUGUCCUUGUGCCUAAAACGCACAAGAUAGCAAGGGCCGGGUAAGACCGGUGCCAGCCGCCGCGGUAACACCGGCGGCCCGAGUGGUAGCCGCUAUUAUUGGGUCUAAAGGGUCCGUAGCCGGUUCGAUAAGUCCUCUGGGAAAUCUGGUUGCUUAACAAUCAGACUGCCAAGGGAUACUGUCGAACUUGAGACCGGGAGAGGUAAGAGGUACUUCAGGGGUAGGAGUGAAAUCUUGUAAUCCCUGGGGGACCAUCUGUGGCGAAGGCGUCUUACCAGAACGGGUCUGACGGUGAGGGACGAAAGCUGGGGGCGCAAACCGGAUUAGAUACCCGGGUAGUCCCAGCCGUAAACGAUGCUCGCUAUGUGUCAGGUACGGUGUGACCGUAUCUGGUGCCGUAGGGAAGCCGUGAAGCGAGCCACCUGGGAAGUACGGUCGCAGACUGAACUUAAAGGAAUUGGCGGGGGAGCACUACAACGGGUGGAGCUGCGGUUUAAUGCAUUC
rnacentral:rRNA from 1 species